rnacentral:rRNA from 1 species
GACAGAGGGUGCAAACGUUGUUCGGAAUUACUGGGCGUAAAGCGCGUGUAGGCUGCUUGGCAAGUCGGAUGUGAAAGCCCUGGGCUCAACCCAGGAAGUGCAUUCGAAACUGCGACGCUGGAGUCCUGGAGAGGAAGGCGGAAUUCUCGGUGUAGAGGUGAAAUUCGUAGAUAUCGAGAGGAACACCGGUGGCGAAGGCGGCCUUCUGGACAGUGACUGACGCUGAGACGCGAAAGCGUGGGGAGCAAACAGG